rnacentral:sRNA from 1 species
CCUGGCUUCAUAGUGUGAUUCCAGAAAGUUCAACACAAAAUCUCGCUACGUCUUUCACAACCUUACUUUCUAUUUCUAGUCAUUCUAUCUACAAUGUCCCGCCCAACCAGAUCCAGCAUUCGCCCUGCCUUACCAACAUCAUCCAGCCCUCGUCUUGCGUCUUCAUCAAGCGGUGGGCAGAGAAGUGGUGGUUAAAGAGGUGUAAACGGCUUUGUACCUUAUUCUGUGGGGGAGUCUCACACUCUCAAACCCAUCUUGAUGUCCCCUCCCAUCCUCGUCCUAGGAGGACUCGGAGUGACCAAGAGCUGAUAGACGGGUUCUUGGCUGAAGCCCAGGAACAUCAGCAAUCCCAGAGAACAGCUGAUGUCAACGGCGUCCCCGCUCUGCCUCCUUCCUCAACGACGCCUCUUUCUCUCCCUCUCGGACUUCUCCCUUGUCGCCGAUAAGCUCCCAACGCUUUCCUUAGAAGGAUGUCCGCCGAAGCGCUGUCCGAGCGUUCGGUGAUAAAGUGGGUCCGCGUGGAAGGGGACGGAUUAUGAGGAGUGUGUGCCCUUCAUGGGUCUUGUCGCCGACAAGACGUCGACGUCUUUGGUGCUGCCCGCUGAAACAGCAAGUGGCCUAUACGGUCACUGGGCAUGCAGUGCCUUAAAAAUAAGGCCCAAACCGCUAGGAAGAAGAGAAGCUCGUGAUCUUCCUCCUAGUGGAUGUCUCGAAUUGUGCUUUUGUAUAUUGUACUUUAAUGAUUCUAUUUUUUGUGUUUUUAUGAUUUGGUGCCUGUGAUUCGACCAACCAAACCAAGGGUUAGCUGCAGGCCCAUUUCAAGCUGCUAAAAAUUGACAUGGGACACGCCCUACAGUCGCGGGUCUUUGGUGUAAGAUAAACUGGAUGAAAGAUACGUAGUAGCAUGUUGUCGUAGAGGCUGGAGGUGAAAAAUGAGAAUGCAUCUCUAUGCCAUGAUGCAUAAUAUUUAGUCAGCAC